rnacentral:rRNA from 1 species
CUAGCUGUAAACGAUGGAUACUAGGCGUUGAGAGUAUCGACCCUCUCAGUGUCGUAGCUAACGCGUUAAGUAUCCCGCCUGGGGAGUACGCGUGCAAGCGUGAAACUCAAAGGAAUUGACGGGGGCCCGCACAAGCGGUGGAGUAUGUGGUUUAAUUCGAUGCAACGCGAAGAACCUUACCAGGGCUUGACAUGUCCGGAACCCUGCCCAAAGGCGGGGGUGCCUACGGGAACCGGAACACAGGUGGUGC